UACGAAGGGGGCUAGCGUUGCUCGGAAUCACUGGGCGUAAAGCGCACGUAGGCGGAUUGUUAAGUCAGGGGUGAAAUCCUGGAGCUCAACUCCAGAACUGCCUUUGAUACUGGCGAUCUUGAGUCCGGGAGAGGUGAGUGGAACUGCGAGUGUAGAGGUGAAAUUCGUAGAUAUUCGCAAGAACACCAGUGGCGAAGGCGGCUCACUGGCCCGGAACUGACGCUGAGGUGCGAAAGCGUGGGGAGCAAACAGG
rnacentral:rRNA from 1 species